GAUGAACGCUGGCGACGUGCCUAAUACAUGCAAGUCGAGCGAACGGACGAGAAGCUUGCUUCUCUGAUGUUAGCGGCGGACGGGUGAGUAACACGUGGAUAACCUACCUAUAAGACUGGGAUAACUUCGGGAAACCGGAGCUAAUACCGGAUAAUAUUUUGAACCGCAUGGUUCAAAAGCGAAAGACGCUCUUGCUGUCACUUAUAGAUGGAUCCGCGCUGCAUUAGCUAGUUGGUAAGGUAACGGCUUACCAAGGCAACGAUGCAUAGCCGACCUGAGAGGGUGAUCGGCCACACUGGAACUGAGACACGGUCCAGACUCCUACGGGAGGCAGCAGUAGGGAAUCUUCCGCAAUGGGCGAAAGCCUGACGGAGCAACGCCGCGUGAGUGAUGAAGGUCUUCGGAUCGUAAAACUCUGUUAUUAGGGAAGAACAUAUGUGUAAGUAACUGUGCACAUCUUGACGGUACCUAAUCAGAAAGCCACGGCUAACUACGUG
rnacentral:rRNA from 1 species